CGGCGUCAAUUCUCUCCCCGAUCUCCAACUCUGGCGCGGUUCGACCUCUUGCCCAGAUUCCGCUGCAACUCGCUGGUGAGCUCGACAGCGUCCAACCGCUGUCGCGCUGACAAUGAUGACCAGACGACGUCAUCGAUGGCCUCCUGUACGCCUCGCCGGCGUGGGUCGACUCUUGCCCAGAUUCCGCUACAGCUCGCCCAAGCUCAGCCCCGUCCAACCGCCGUCUCGUUGACAACGACGACCAUACGACGUCUUCGAUGGCCUCCUGGACACCUCGCCGUCUCCUUGGAGUCGCCGAUGACCUCCUGGACGCCGCCGG
rnacentral:lncRNA from 1 species